CCCUUAGAUGUCCGGGGCCGCACGCGCGCUACACUGAAGGAAUCAGCGUGGCUUUCUCCCUGACCCGAAAGGGUUGGGAAACCCGUUGAAUCUCCUUCGUGAUAGGGAUUGGGGCUUGAAAUUGUUCCCCAUGAACGAGGAAUUCCCAGUAAGCGCGAGUCAUAAGCUCGCGUUGAUUACGUCCCUGCCCUUUGUACACACCGCCCGUCGCUACUACCGAUUGAACGGUUUAGUGAGGGCCUCGGAUUGGUCCCGCUGUCGGACAGGCAACUGUUUGCAGCGCGUGCGCCGGGAAGAAGGUCGAACUUGACUAUCUAGAGGAAGUAAAAGUCGUAACA
rnacentral:rRNA from 1 species